AUUGAACGCUGGCGGCAUGCUUUACACAUGCAAGUCGGACGAGUGGCGAACGGGUGAGUAAUAUAUUGGAACGUACCGAGUAAUGGGGGAUAACCAAUCGAAAGAUUGGCUAAUACCGCAUAUUAUACGAGCGGCCAAUAUCUGAUUAGCUAGUUGGGGGGGUAAAGGCCUACCAAGGCGACGAUCACUAGCGGGUCGGAGGGGAUGAUCCGCAACACUGGGACUGAGACACGGCCGAGACACCGACGGUGGGCAGCGGUGGGGAAUUUUGGACAAGGGGGUCAAGCCGAAUCUAGCCCUGCGGCGUGUCUGAAGAGGGCCUUCGGGUUGUAAAGGAAUUUUGUUAGGGAAGCGGUACCUAAAGAAUAAGCACCGGCUAACUACGUGCCAGCAGCCGCGGUAAUAC
rnacentral:rRNA from 1 species